rnacentral:rRNA from 1 species
CUACGGGAGGCUGCAGUGGGGAAUAUUGCACAAUGGGCGCAAGCCUGAUGCAGCCAUGCCGCGUGUAUGAAGAAGGCCUUCGGGUUGUAAAGUACUUUCAGCGGGGAGGAAGGGAGUAAAGUUAAUACCUUUGCUCAUUGACGUUACCCGCAGAAGAAGCACCGGCGAACUCCGUGCCAGCAGCCGCGGUAAUACGGAGGGUGCAAGCGUUAAUCGGAAUUACUGGGCGUAAAGCGCACGCAGGCGGUUUGUUAAGUCAGAUGUGAAAUCCCCGGGCUCAACCUGGGAACUGCAUCUGAUACUGGCAAGCUUGAGUCUCGUAGAGGGGGGUAGAGUUCCAGGUGUAGCGGUGAAAUGCGUAGAGAUCUGGAGGAAUACCGGUGGCGAAGGCGGCCCCCUGGACGAAGACUGACGCUCAGGUGCGAAAGCGUGGGGAGCAAACAGGAUUAGAUACCCCGGUAGUC